rnacentral:rRNA from 1 species
AUGGAGGUUGUGUGGGGCGGUCGUAAAGUCUCCAAGCUCAUCGCCAGCUCCUUCUUCCUCUUGGGCACCGGCAGCAACGAUCUCUUCCAGACCAGACCAAAGUCCCAAGCUGAUGUUGCAGCGCUAUAUGCCACCCUCGCCUCAAACUACUCUGCCGCCAUCAUUGACCUGUAUGGGAUGGGAGCAAGGAUGUUUGGGAUCAUUAACACAGGUCCAGUAGGGUGUGUGCCACGGGUGCGUGUGUUGAACGCGACGGGGGCCUGCAACGAUGGAAUGAACCGUCUCGCUGCCAGGCUCGCCGCGGCGAUCAAGUCCGGCCUCGCCACCACGCUCACCACGACCAGGCUCCCAGGCCUCAAGUACUCCCUCGCCGACUCUUUCGCUGCCUCACGGGCCAACUUCGACAACCCCCAAGCAGCCGGGUUUGUGAACGCCGAUAGCGCGUGCUGCGGGAGCGGUAGGCUGGGCGCGGAGGGUAAGUGCAUAAGGAACGCGACACUGUGCAGUGAUCGUGAUGCAUAUGCUUUCUUUGACAACGUUCACCCCAGCCAGCGGGCUGCUGAGAUGAGUGCACAUGCGCUCUUCGUGGACGGCCCGACACAGGUCACCGCACCCAUCAGCUUCAAGGAGCUAGCACACGAGAGAUGA